GAUUAGAGUUUGAUCAUGGCUCAGAUUGAACGCUGGCGGCAGGCCUAACACAUGCAAGUCGAGCGGUAGCACAGAGAGCUUGCUCUCGGGUGACGAGCGGCGGACGGGUGAGUAAUGUCUGGGAAACUGCCUGAUGGAGGGGGAUAACUACUGGAAACGGUAGCUAAUACCGCAUAACGUCGCAAGACCAAAGUGGGGGACCUUCGGGCCUCAUGCCAUCAGAUGUGCCCAGAUGGGAUUAGCUAGUAGGUGGGGUAAUGGCUCACCUAGGCGACGAUCCCUAGCUGGUCUGAGAGGAUGACCAGCCACACUGGAACUGAGACACGGUCCAGACUCCUACGGGAGGCAGCAGUGGGGAAUAUUGCACAAUGGGCGCAAGCCUGAUGCAGCCAUGCCGCGUGUAUGAAGAAGGCCUUCGGGUUGUAAAGUACUUUCAGCGAGGAGGAAGGCAUCAAGGUUAAUAACCUUGGUGAUUGACGUUACUCGCAGAAGAAGCACCGGCUAACUCCGUGCCAGCAGCCGCGGUAAUACGGAGGGUGCAAGCGUUAAUCGGAAUUACUGGGCGUAAAGCGCACGCAGGCGGUCUGUCAAGUCGGAUGUGAAAUCCCCGGGCUCAACCUGGGAACUGCAUUCGAAACUGGCAGGCUAGAGUCUUGUAGAGGGGGGUAGAAUUCCAGGUGUAGCGGUGAAAUGCGUAGAGAUCUGGAGGAAUACCGGUGGCGAAGGCGGCCCCCUGGACAAAGACUGACGCUCAGGUGCGAAAGCGUGGGGAGCAAACAGGAUUAGAUACCCUGGUAGUCCACGCCGUAAACGAUGUCGACUUGGAGGUUGUGCCCUUGAGGCGUGGCUUCCGGAGCUAACGCGUUAAGUCGACCGCCUGGGGAGUACGGCCGCAAGGUUAAAACUCAAAUGAAUUGACGGGGGCCCGCACAAGCGGUGGAGCAUGUGGUUUAAUUCGAUGCAACGCGAAGAACCUUACCUACUCUUGACAUCCAGAGAACUUAGCAGAGAUGCUUUGGUGCCUUCGGGAACUCUGAGACAGGUGCUGCAUGGCUGUCGUCAGCUCGUGUUGUGAAAUGUUGGGUUAAGUCCCGCAACGAGCGCAACCCUUAUCCUUUGUUGCCAGCGGUCCGGCCGGGAACUCAAAGGAGACUGCCAGUGAUAAACUGGAGGAAGGUGGGGAUGACGUCAAGUCAUCAUGGCCCUUACAAGUAGGGCUACACACGUGCUACAAUGGCAUAUACAAAGAGAAGCGACCUCGCGAGAGCAAGCGGACCUCAUAAAGUAUGUCGUAGUCCGGAUUGGAGUCUGCAACUCGACUCCAUGAAGUCGGAAUCGCUAGUAAUCGUAGAUCAGAAUGCUACGGUGAAUACGUUCCCGGGCCUUGUACACACCGCCCGUCACACCAUGGGAGUGGGUUGCAAAAGAAGUAGGUAGCUUAACCUUCGGGAGGGCGCUUACCACUUUGUGAUUCAUGACUGGGGUGAAGUCGUAACAAGGUAACC
rnacentral:rRNA from 1 species